CAUUAUUAGAAAUUAAAGAAGGGAUUAUUUACCCAAAAAGAAAAAGAGGUUGUCCAGCCACCUCUCUAGCUAGCUAGCAUAUACAAGUACUGUCGUCAACACCUUCAAUCCUCAAACAAAAUGCAGCUGGUCGCAACCAAUCAAAUACUAUACAACCGAUUUUCUAAUUACUUCUUCAAUUUUGUGGGGUAUUGUAGCUAAUAAUUUACCCUAAUCUCUGGUUUAUCUGAUCUAUCUCGAAUUCAGGGUAUGAUUUAGUUUUUGGUUAUUGGAAUAAUAAUUUUCCCUAAGAUGAUUUGUAAUGUGCCCUAAUCUUUUUCUUUCAAAGUUGUUCUAAAUUAGUGUUAUUUCUAUCGAAUAUGUUAUUUUUUUUAUUUGUACAACUCAUAAUUCAGUAUGAAAUUUGUCAAUUUGGGGUUGUUUAGUUAUUAGAUUAUUUGCUACCUCCGAAUCUGACAUUAUUCUCAAAUUACUAACCCUAAUUCUAAAUUUUUUGGGUUUCACUUUGAUUCUGAUUCUGCUUGUCGUAAAAAUUCUUCUAGAUUAAUUUGGAAAUAAUGUUAAAGUUAUUCCUGAUUUGGAAAACAAUUGCUUAGGAAUUAGAUUUCCUUUGAAGUUCAUAUUGUUAUUUUGGUAAUGUUUGUAUUACUCUUGUUAUUUCUUGUCCUUCGACUUCUGUUAUCUAUUGUUUCUUGUGAUUCAACUGUCAUUAUUUAUUUUAUGUGGUACUACUCCUUUAUUAUCAAUUAUUUUUAUUAUUAUCUGUUGAUUUUUAUUGAACUGAGGGCCUACUGAAACAGCCUCUCUACCUCUGAGGUAGGGAUAUAGUCACUCUGAGGUAGGGAUAUAGUCUGCAUACACUUUACCCUCCCCAGACCCCCACUUUGUGGGAUUACAUUUGUUAUAUUGUUGCUGAUUUAGAUUUUCCUUGAAGUUCAUAUAGUUAUUUUGGUACUUUUUGUUUUAAUGUUGGGUAGAUAGAGUGUUUGGACCUCAAACAAGUACUCAGGAUGUUUAUGAAGUAGUGUCUCAACCUGUGGUUAAGGCUGCAAUGAAAGGCAUACAUGGUAUUUUUUUCUUGGGACUGAAUUUUCAUCAUUUAAGUGCAACACUUUAUGCUGUUCUAUUUAAUUGAAUUGAUUUUUUUUUUUACAUGAGACCUGCUGAUUACGUAGGCACAAUAUUUGCUUAUAGAGUCACAAGUAGUGGAAAAACACACACUAUGCAUGUAAGUUAAUUUUCCUUUGGGUUAUAUCCUUUCUUUCUUGAAUUGAAAGAAAGUUUAUCGACUCAAUUGCAUUGCUAAUGAACUCUCUAGGUACUUUUGGUUAUUAACGAUUGGCAGAGCUACUGCCCUGCAAUACUGCAUAAUCUUUAACUUGUUGCAGAUUUGUCGAAGUGCUUGGAGGAGCUUGUGCUUUUUCUAUUUCCACUGGAGACGGAGAGGAAAGAUUGGAUAUCAAAUUUGGCAGUUAAAUAAGAAGAGUGUAAAAAGGCGGUAGAGAAUAAGAAAGAGGCGUAUAAUGCGUUGAUUGCUUUGGAUGAGCUGCGCGUAUGAGUAGAUGUUAAAAAAUGUGGAAUAGAGGUUGGAAAAGAUUUAUGAGACUGUUGUUGCUGGUGGUAAUUUGGAUGAAUAGGUGUCUAGUAAGAAUAGUUCUAAGAUGAAAGAGAAAGUGAAUAAGGAAGUGAUCGGGAUUUUGCAAGAGGCGACGAACAAGAGUGUGAAAAGGGUUGAUUUAUUCGGUAGGAAGCUGAGGAUGUUUCCUAAAGCUUUUAGGAAGAUUCGCUCCUUAAUCAUGCUUAAUUUGUCCAAAAAUCAGCUUAAGAAUAGUGUGCAUGAAGAUAAUAAGGAUGAACUUUCCCAUCCAAACUUAUCCUAUCUCGAGCUAGCUGUGGAAAAUAUGGAAGGAACACAUGUUGAUUCAUCAGAGAUGAAACUUUAGCGUGAAAAGCUGAAGAAUUGGAGUUACAGAAACAAUCGAGACGAUUGCAGUCUCAAUAUAUUAUGCUCACUAGGCAGGCUUCUACAUUGAUUUAGGGAAGAAGGGCUCGAGUUACAGCAAUUUCUAUUCUUAAUGGAUAGCAGGCUACCACAGAUAAUAGCCUUUCAGGAAAAAAUUUAGAGAAACCAGGUGGAAUUGUUGCUCUUCUAGAUGUAGCUUGGUACCAUAAAAUCCCACAAGCUCUGUGUUAAGCCCAAACUGCAUUUGCUAUGUGUCACUACUCAUCAAGGCAAUGUAUCUUUUGCAUUAAUAAAGUAUAUCAAGGCAAUGGUGCUCCUUUAGAGAGCAUAAUUAGAGAUAGUUAAUAGAGGAUUUCUGUUUUCUUUUUUCCAUGAAGUAUUUGGGUAAAUGAUGUAUAUAUGGUGUUCUUGCAUAUUUAUAAAAGCAGAUUAUGGUAAUUUGAUA